AGACAAGAUCCUUUAUUACAUAUUCAGAAAAGAAAAUUUAGGAUGCGUAACGAAAAAAAAUUAACUCAACAGGUGGUAUAUGCAAAGGGAAGCACUGCCCACGCAGUAUACAAUAUACAGCAAUUUAAUAUGAAGGGUUUGCAUCAGAGGGUUGGGGUAUGUAUAUUAACUAGAACGGGUCAUAUAAACUUGCUAUAGUACUAUAAGUCUAUACGCAAUAGAUAAUACGAGGCAACGUAUAAAAAGAAAAAUUUAAAACGAUAUAAAAUAACGACUAUUAAAAUGGUCAAAUCCGAUCGAUUCCUGUGGCUUUAAGAA